rnacentral:rRNA from 1 species
AUUGAACGCUGGCGGCAGGCCUAACACAUGCAAGUCGAACGAGUGGCGGACGGGUGAGUAAUGUCUGGGAAACUGCCCGAUGGAGGGGGAUAACUACUGGAAACGGUAGCUAAUACCGCAUACCAUCGGAUGUGCCCCGAUGGGAUUAGCUAGUAGGUGGGGUAACGGCUCACCUAGGCGACGAUCCCUAGCUGGUCUGAGAGGAUGCCCAGCAACACGGGAACGGAGACACGGUCCAUGCUCCUAGGGGAGGCAGCAGUGGGGAAUAGUGCAAAAUGGGGGCAAGCCUGAUGCAGCCAUGACGAGUGUAUGAAGAAGGCCUUCGGGUUGUAAAGUACGGUCAGCGAGGAGGCGUUACUCGCAGAAGAAGCAUCGGCUAAAUACGUGCCAGCCGCCGCGGUAAUUC